rnacentral:rRNA from 1 species
UACGGAGGGGGCUAGCGUUGUUCGGAAUUACUGGGCGUAAAGCGCACGUAGGCGGCUUGGUAAGUUAGAGGUGAAAGCCUGGAGCUCAACUCCAGAAUUGCCUUUAAGACUGCCGAGCUAGCAGGUGAGAGAGGUGAGUGGAAUUCCUAGUGUAGAGGUGAAAUUCGUAGAUAUUCGCAAGAACACCAGUGGCGAAGGCGGCUCACUGGCCCGGUACUGACGCUGAGGUGCGAAAGCGUGGGGAGCAAACAGG